UUAGAUACUCAGCAGUAGACAUAAUUUGUCCUCUAUACAGCUGUCGCAUACAGCAAACCUUUUAAGAUUAAGAGGGUCCAGUUAGAUCCUUGGGCAGAUGUGUCUUAGUGGUACUGCAGUGUGUAGGUUAGAAUAUCUAAAGUGUUUCUUUGUGGUUGUUUUUUGUGUUUGAUUUAGUUAGAGGGAGAGUGUGCACAAGUCAAGAGUCCUCAGUCAUGGAAAAUCAUGGGCCUUAGAUGUCUACAGGCCCACAGAAUCCCCAUUUCUCUGUUCUGCUGAAUAUGUGAGACUUGUGUCCUUAAAAUGAUCUAAAGGACCUGGUUACAUAGCACUUUUUAAUUUGCCUUUAUUUCUUUAUUUUUUAGACUUUCUAAGAUGCCGGGCUAGCUUCAUACUUGUUAUUUGUCCAUUGCUUUACAACAGGGAAACAUUAGAACUGUUGGAUUCUCCACACAUAUUCAGCUUACCCCCCGCCAUAUUAACAAAAGAAUAUUAAUCAAAGUUAACUUACUCUAGAGACGUCUGUAACAGACAAGAAAACAAAGACACAUCUCAAUGCCAAAAGUUUGCACAAAGCCUUCAUUGUACAAGACCGUAAGAAGAAAUCAGAGACUGCUGUUCCUCCUCACGCACGGAAGAGCAACCCCAUUGUACAGUCGCACAGGCCCUGCUUAGUUACCUGGUUGUGAUCUGCCAGAUGGGAAGAGGGACAGGCAGCCUACAGCUCCACUACAUCUCUGGAGCACUCUUGCUCCUACUGUCUCUCCUUGAAUGCCAACCGUAGCUCAGUGGACGAGGAAGGGCUGUAUGCUGUCCCUUCUCUCCCAGUAAUAUAUUAUGCUGUCAGAUUGGAGUUCCGAUCUGUGAACCAGAAAAUGCUGAGGCCAAGCAGUUUUUUCCACUUCUUGAAGAAAAGUUGUUGUGAUGCCAGAAGGAUAACAGAAACCUGUAAAUGGGGAUAGUGAAGAUGAUGAAGAAAAAAGUGAUGAAAGCAGAAACAGCAACACGAAGAGUAUUAGCUAUUCAAAUAGCAGUAACGAAGAAGAAGAAGGUGGUUGUUCUGAGGAAAAUUUGUUGGGAAAUUCUAUAGUAUUUAUGAAGACAAUUCUGUGAUUCUCCAACAGGCAUGUUAAAUUACACUGUUUAAUAAUAUUUUUCUUCUGAAUUUCAAUAGUCUUUAACAUUAAUAUCAGGCCUUGGAAUUUUUGUAGUCCUUGUGUUACUUUCAAACUUAUACC